rnacentral:rRNA from 1 species
CCAGCAGCCGCGGUAAUUCCAGCUCCAAUAGCGUAUAUUAAAGUUGUUGCAGUUAAAAAGCUCGUAGUUGGACUUCCGGUCGCUCGGGCGGUCCGCCGCAAGGUGAGCACUGCCUCGAGCGACCCUCCUCUCGAGGACCGCGUGUGCACUUAACUGUUGCGUGCGCGGGACUCGGGACCUUUACUUUGAAAAAAUUAGAGUGUUCAAAGCAGGCCUUCGCUUGAAUACUUCAGCAUGGAAUAAUGGAAUAGGACUUUGGUUCUAUUUGUUGGUUUCAGGACCGAAGUAAUGAUUAAUAGGGACAGUCGGGGGCAUUAGUAUUUAAUUGUCAGAGGUGAAAUUCU